GAAAUCAACCUUUGUUGUUCAUAAACCACUAAACGUGGCGGUGGUUUAUUACCGCAGCACAACCUGGCUUAUCCUGGCUAAUCCAAGUGGACUGAGUCAGUCCGCGUGGAUCUCCUAGGAAAGCUUGGCGCCCAGGGAUCCCAGAGAUGUUUUUAAAGAUCUUUUUAAAGUAACAGAGUCCCCCGAAGGAACUAGGAAAAGAGUGUGCUUUCAGAUGCCAGAUUGGAACAGAUGAGAGCAUAAACGCAGUGAAUUCAGCCCUAAGGAUUCUGGAAGAACUACAUUCAAGCUGGAUUUGUCCUCUGGGGAUUUGUUUAAAGGCUGAGUAGCACAGUGAACAACAUCUCCCGCCAGAAAAUCACCGAGACGUUGUAAAACUGCGGAGUCCUUUCCGUGAACCCACUGAGGAGGAAAAGCCACCACUGAAAAUGACUCUGCAGUAAGUCAGGGUCCGAUGAGUGUUACCAUCCUACCCGAUGAGAUUCUCCAAGCUGAGCCUGCAUCUUGAGAAAGAGAGAUACAGUACUUUGGAGAUUAACUACGAAAAGUUUUACAAGACGUGAAGGUGAUGAAUCAUGAAUCCUGUAAGGGUGAGC
ensembl:lncRNA